rnacentral:rRNA from 1 species
ACGCGCAGAACCUUACCAACCCUUGACAUCCUAGGACCGCUCCAGAGAUGGAGUUUUCUCGUAAGAGACCUAGUGACAGGUGCUGCAUGGCUGUCGUCAGCUCGUGUCGUGAGAUGUUCGGUUAAGUCCGGCAACGAGCGCAACCCACAUCCUUAGUUGCCAGCAUUCAGUUGGGCACUCUAGGGAAACUGCCCGUGAUAAGCGGGAGGAAGGUGUGGAUGACGUCAAGUCCUCAUGGCCCUUACGGGUUGGGCUACACACGUGCUACAAUGGCAGUGACAAUGGGUUAAUCCCAAAAAGCUGUCUCAGUUCGGAUUGGGGUCUGCAACUCGACCCCAUGAAGUCGGAAUCGCUAGUAAUCGCGUAACAGCAUGACGCGGUGAAUACGUUCCCGGGCCUUGUACACACCGCCCGUCACACCAUGGGAGUUGGGUCUACCCGAAGGCGGUGCGCCAACCAGCAAUGGAGGC